CAAAGGCAAAGCUCAGAGCACAGGGUUUCCCAAGGUUCGGGUAAGAUGAGGUUGAGAGGAAUGGUUUUACAAGGUGGCAUUCUCUGCCUUGUUCUACCAAUGGGAAAUUGAACUCAGAAUCGUCACGAACACAGAGAUUGGUUCAUGGAAGUGGAAAAGGUGGAGUUAGAGACAGGUCAAUGUUGUCUUCGGGGGAUGGUAAUGCUAAGGCUGUGCAAGCAGAAUGGAGGAAGUGAUCUUGCAAAAAUUGGGGUUUCAAGGAAAGACGUCACACCAAGCAGGUAAACUUGGCUACUUGUCCUUUUUUUUUUUGACCGAGUGUCCGAAGUUUUUUGUUUUUGCCCUUAUGGUACAAAAUUCAGUUGUAAAACUUGAAGCUGGACUGAGGAAAAACAAUUGUGUGGUGUGCCUGGAGACUCUACUUGUCUAUUGUUAUCGUGGUGCUUUCGAUCUAUUCUGUAUAGUCUUAGGAUAUACUGUAUGGUGUGAUAUCAUUAGGGAUUGUUUGUGCUAUUUUUUUUUUUCAAAUUUUUUUAAUAAUAGAAUUUCAAACUUUGUAAGAGCCAUAAAUGUUUAUUAUAUGGUUUCUCACAUAUAGUUGAA